UACCCAUAGCCUGAAGGAAACAUGAGGAGGAAAUCAGUCCCACCCAAGCCACAUUGCCAAGUAUUUGUACAGGUGUCACUAAUUAGGGCAGAAUUUGGCCUGCAGAAAACGUCCAGCCACAGAUGCUGGAGAAAACUGUCAGCUGGGGGGGGGGGUUGACUGGAUCUCUCAGACAAGUUUGCAGAAGGGCUUAGUGUGGUCAUAGGAUAACGAACUAUUUAUUUAUUCUGGGGGGGGAGAGGGGAUUGAAUAUCCUUGGUCUGUGUACUGGAUCUGGCUGGGAGAGAGUUAAUCAUCUUCAUAGUAGCUCAUACAGUAGUGUGUUUUGGAAGCAGCACAUCACAGAGCUCUAUGUCACAGCCAUUCUACCUGUGCGUGGGGUUGCCUUCUCCACAACAUGCUGGGGGAAUGGAUGAGGGCACUGGCUCAUUUGCAGCAACUUCUCAUGGACAGCAAGAAACAGCCACGUGGAGUGGCACAGAGUGAAUGGACUGGCCUGAAUCCUCUCCUGGUCGCUGUCAAGAAAAGCAAAAUAAAGACACUCAGCAAACAUGCACCCAGGAUCCUCUAGAUGAUAAGAGCUCAAAAUAAGUGGCAGUGCCUUGGAUGUUCUGUGCAUAAGCACAAGGAUGGUUACUUCAGCAUGGCUGGCACAGAGCAACUCAAAGCACAAUAAACACAUUGCAGUUUGCAGUCAGUAAUAGCUCUCCAUAGCUGAAAUCCUUGUUUGCAAUGAGAGCUUUCUCUAAGGUUUUAAUGAGGGAGUAGCUCU